rnacentral:rRNA from 1 species
UGCGUAGGCGGUGCGGUCAGUCGGGUGUGAAAUCCCUCGGCUCAACCGAGGAACUGCGCCCGAUACUGCCGUGCUUGAGGGAGACAGAGGUAAGCGGAACUGAUGGUGGAGCGGUGAAAUGCGUUGAUAUCAUCAGGAACACCAGUGGCGAAAGCGGCUUACUGGGUCUCAUCUGACGCUGAGGCACGAAAGCUAGGGUAGCGAACG